rnacentral:tmRNA from 1 species
GGGGGCGAAUCUGGUUUCGACGGGGAUGUUGCAGCAGAAGUAGCGAGUCGUAGUCUCCAAACUACGUUAAAAGUGGAACCAAAAAUUAAACGCAGAAGAUAACAACUUCGCAUUCGCGGCGUAAUGCCGCUGUCUCCGCUUACUUUCCCGUAGGGUAAGCCGGGGCAUCAAACUGAUAUACGGGCAACUUGCCGGCGUCAAGCUUUGUACGCCCGCUCGUACUCGAUGAAGCUACGCGCACGCGAUUCUUUCCGUUGAAGCGCGUUCGCGGAAUCUAAAAAACGGAAUGCACUCGGAGAAGCUUCUAUGAAUGCAUUUUCGGACGCGGGUUCGACACCCGCCGCCUCCACCA